rnacentral:snoRNA from 1 species
UGUUCGUGAUGAAUUAUUUCUUAUUUCUGACACUUCCAAUGAACAUACUGCCCAGCAGUCCUUGAUUUCACCUCAUGUUCUGAAGCAC